AGAUGCGGUGCAGCACAUUCAGAGAUUCAGUGAAGAGGAGGCUGCAGCUGCUUUUCACCUGGUUUUCCUUUAAGAGAUUCACAAGUAGAAAACAAGUGGACUAACAGACACCCUACGGAGUCCCAACUUCUUUCUGGUUAUCGGGUUGCAGCCAAAGGGCAGAGGAGGAGGCAUCCUCACUCACCUCAAGUGAAUUUCCAUCGUGAACACGUUCUCGCGGAGAGAGAGAAAGAGUUUGCGUCUUCAGCAGAAGUUUGUACGACUCAUUAAACAUCGCUGUUUACGACUUUCCCCUUUAUAAAUUUCUCUCAAGUUUAGCGUCAGUCACAGGGAUUGAGGGGUGAAAAACAUUCUACGCAUGUUUCAGGUGGAAUAUUCGCGUCUGUGAAACUUCAGUGUGGAAGAUUCUUGAGUCCGCUCUAUUGUCAUGAGAUUGAUGUGAACUUUUGGCUCGGAACGGUGUACUUCAGUUUUACCACAAUGAAGGACGACUUUACUGAUGAAGAGGAAGUGCAGUCUUUUGGCUACAAAAGGUUUGCAUGCAUGCAGGCACCAGCAG